rnacentral:rRNA from 1 species
AGAGUUUGAUCCUGGCUCAGAACGAACGCUGGCGGCGUGGAUAAGACAUGCAAGUCGAACGAGACUUUCCGUUGUAGCAAUACGAUGGAAAGUUUAGUGGCGAACGGGUGCUUAACACGUGGGCAACCUGCCAUGAAGUGGGGGAUAGCUCGCCGAAAGGCGAAUUAAUACCGCAUGUGAUUAGAGAGGACAUCCUUUCGAAAUUAAAGUCGGGGCAACCUGACGCUUCUUGUGGGGCCCGCGGCCUAUCAGCUAGUUGGUGAGGUAACGGCUCACCAAGGCUUUGACGGGUAGCUGGUCUGAGAGGACGACCAGCCACACUGGGACUGAGACACGGCCCAGACACCUACGGGUGGCAGCAGUCGAGAAUUUUUGACAAUGGGGGAAACCCUGAUCGAGCGACGCCGCGUGGAGGAUGAAGGUCUUCGGAUUGUAAACUCCUGUCAUUUGGGAACAAGGUGCACACGUUAACUGCGUGCGUAUUGAUAGUACCAGAAGAGGAAGGGACGGCUAACUCUGUGCCAGCAGCCGCGGUAAUACAGAGGUCUCAAGCGUUGUUCGGAUUCAUUGGGCGUAAAGGGUGCGUAGGCGGCGCGGUAAGUCGGGUGUGAAAUCUCGGAGCUUAACUCCGAAACUGCAUUCGAUACUGCCGUGCUUGAGGACUGGAGAGGAGACUGGAAUUUACGGUGUAGCGGUGAAAUGCGUAGAUAUCGUAAGGAAGACCAGUGGCGAAGGCGGGUCUCUGGACAGUUCCUGACGCUGAGGCACGAAGGUCAGGGGAGCAAACGGGAUUAGAUACCCUAGUAGUCC